CAUCAGCAGCACCGAUUCUGUGGGAUGGGGAACGUUGCACGUCCCGAGUUAAGCAGCUUUCCAGCCUGUGCCAGGUUUGGAUGGCUGACAAACCCACCCUGCAGGAAGAAUACAAGCUAUUGGCUUCACAGCUACACAGCUUCACUUACUUCUGAAGGAAAUGUUAAACCUGUGAACCAGUGGUCGCUCUUCUCUUGCUGUGUUGUAGCAUCUCUGUAAGCCAUCACAGAGCAUCCCUGUCAGCAGCAUCUGAGCUCCCAGGCUUUGGGUCUGGUGGUCCUGUCCUCAGACCCCAUCUGAGUGUUUGUAUUCCCCUAUGGGCACCUGGAACACACCCAUGGUCAGGAACAUGCAGCACCCUCAGGAAUACAUACCCACGGGUGCAGGAUUGCCCUCCUUUAUCCCUCCUCUUUCCCCUGGAUCUACAAUAAUGUAAUUUGUCCUAAAAAACAAGCCAGAGCUGGUUCGAAAUGCACUGAAGGCCAGUUCCCAGCUCUCUCCCAAAUCCCUUUCCAUGGCCAAAUCCCCACCUGCAACAUGGGAUAAUCCCAUUCCCAACACUGCUAGGUUUUGUUUAUGAACUCCCUGAGACAGAGACUCUCUCACUGCACCCCUCAAGGAAGUGGCAUGACAGGGACCUGCCCAUAAUAAGGCCCUGUAAAAGCAAUGUGAUUUUGUUAAAGAGAAACAGGAAUGGCUUGCAAAGAAAUAAAAAUAAGAGUGAACUUUGGGUUCCUUUGACUUGCUUCCACAUAAUCUCUUUGGGAAAGCACACAGAGCUUGCACUCUUUGCUGCCUGCUUGUUGCUUGUCUCUUAGCAAAAGGCCAUCAAAAAACCUAGCUUUUUGGAGCAGAAGGCUUUAUCAGCAGAUCAGAAGCCCUAGAGCAGUCCUGCUGCUGCCCUUGGGAAAUUCAAGGUCUGAGGCAUCUCUCUGCCAUUGCUAUCUACACCCCAGUCAUGCCUGGGGCUGCAGCAAGUUGCUCACAGGGUCCCUUUUGGUCCUCCUCUGCACGUACCCCAGGUUGUCUUUUCACCUCAGGGCUCUGCUCAGCCCUGCUCCAGGGACCCUGGGUUGAUUUUUCCAAGGAUAGGGAUGUCUUAAGGAUCCACUUGUAUCCUAUCAUGUGCUGGGGGAACAGGACAUGACAGACCAGACCCUGAGAUGGAGUCAGGGAUGCUGUGCCUUCCAGAGAGGGGUCUUGCUGUGAGCUCCUUCCUGAGGAGCAAAUAUCUCUUUACCGUUGCACAUUCCCACCUUUACCCCAAAUGUAUGGGAAUGUAAUUAUUUAAUUGUCUGGGCUUGCUGAUGAAGACAGAGAAUUUCUCCUUUGCUUAUCUCAAAGCUCCCCUGUGCUUCAAUGCACCUUCUUUAGCCCCCCGGCAGCUAUUAGGAAGGCAUGUGCUCUUGUGACCAUGGCAUUUGCCUGCUUGCAUACCCUGGGUCUGGCCUAGGAGGGGGAUGAGAAAUAGCAAGUCACUGCAAUGGCAGCAGCCUUGUUUCAGGGGCAAAGUCUGAAAUUUUGGCAAAUAAUUUGCCAUCCACCUUCUGCUUUUGCCAUUCUGGCUGCAGUUUGGGACCCGCGGGGAUAAGAAGCUUUGUGUUUCUGCUGCAGCGUGCUGGCAAUCUUGCCAUGUCUCUCAUCUAAGCCUUCAGAAUCACCCAGAUGUGGCAGGACUCAGCCUCCUGGAGAGCAGAAAAGCAUCAGAGAAGGCCAUGCCCCAUGAGAAGGACACCACUGCAUGACCCUCUGGGUCCCCAGUGGGUAGAGAAGAGCCUGACUGCAGUAGGAACCACCUGCUCAGCAUCAUCUGAAGAAGGUGUUUUCCUUCCUCCAGCCCCCACAGCCUUACUGGGUUAAAGGAAGGGCCCUGGGCAGAGCAAGGAGCACUCACAAUAUAGGAGAUCAGCCUGAGCAUCCUCGCACUGUGGGGUUCAACCUACCAGAAUCAUGCCAGUGGGCACCAACCCUAUUUAUUUCCAUGCUCAUCAGCAAAAGCAGCACAUUUUCAGGUGGCAUCUCUCUUCCUUCUCAGCACCAAAGCUUUUGCCUGGCAUCCAAAGGGAAAAGAAUAACGGGGCCAUCAGCAGUGAGCAAAACGCAUCUCAUAACCUCCACUUCUUUUCAACGAGCUCCAGUUGUUGCUUUACAAGUGUACUCCAACCCCAGCAAGUGCCAAACAAAAGCUCCCCUCUCCUCCUC